GGCCAGACUCCUACGGGAGGCAGCAGUGGGGAAUAUUGCACAAUGGGGGAAACCCUGAUGCAGCGACGCCGCGUGAGUGAAGAAGUAUUUCGGUAUGUAAAGCUCUAUCAGCAGGAAAGAAAAUGACGGUACCCGACUAAGAAGCCCCGGCUAACUACGUGCCAGCAGCCGCGGUAAUACGUAGGGGGCAAGCGUUAUCCGGAUUUACUGGGUGUAAAGGGAGCGUAGACGGUGAAGCAAGUCUGAAGUGAAAGGCGGGGGCUCAACCCCCGGACUGCUUUGGAAACUGUUUGACUGGAGUGCAGGAGAGGUAAGUGGAAUUCCUAGUGUAGCGGUGAAAUGCGUAGAUAUUAGGAGGAACACCAGUGGCGAAGGCGGCUUACUGGACUGUAACUGACGUUGAGGCUCGAAAGCGUGGGGAGCAAACAGGAUUAGAUACCCUUGUAUCA
rnacentral:rRNA from 1 species